rnacentral:rRNA from 1 species
GACGAACGCUGGCGGCGUGCUUAACACAUGCAAGUCGAACGGAAAGGCCCCUUUGGGGGUACUCGCGUGGCGAACGGGUGAGUAACACGUGCGUAACCUGCCCUUGACUUCCGGAUAACUUCAGUAAACUGGGGCUAAUACCUGAUAGGAAUCCUUUCUGCAUGGUGGGGGUUGGAAAGCUUCGGCGGUUUUGGAUGGAGGCGCGGCUUAUCAGCGUGUUGGUGGGGUAGUGGCUUACUAAGGGUUUGACGGGUAGCCGGCCUGAGAGGGCGACCGGCCACAGUGGGACUGGGAUACGGACCAGACUCCUACGGGGAGGAGAAGGGGGGAAUAGUGCACAAUGGGCGGAAGCCUGAUGCAGCAACGCCGCGUGCGGGAGGACGGGCUUCGGGUUGGAAACCGCGUUCAGCAGGGGCGAAGCUUGUAGUGACGGUACCUGCAGAAGAAGCACCGGCUAACUACGUG